rnacentral:rRNA from 1 species
UAAGGAAUAUUGGACAAUGGAGGCAACUCUGAUCCAGCCAUGCCGCGUGAAGGAAUAAGGCCCUAUGGGUUGUAAACUUCUUUUAGACGGGACAAAACCCCUUUACGUGUAAAGGGUUGAUGGUACUGUCAGAAUAAGCAUCGGCUAACUUCGUGUCAGCAGCCGCGGUAAUACGAAGGAUGCAAGCGUUAUCCGGAAUUAUUGGGUUUAAAGGGUGCGUAGGCGGACUAAUAAGUCAGUGGUGAAAGCCUGCAGCUUAACUGCAGAAUUGCCAUUGAUACUGUUAGUCUUGAGUACAGUUGAGGUAGGCGGAAUGUGUCAUGUAGCGGUGAAAUGCUUAGAUAUGACACAGAACACCGAUUACGAAGGCAGCUUGCUAAGCUGUAACUGACGCUGAGGCACGAAAGCGUGGGUAGCAAACA